CGGCGGUGGCGGCUACGGAGGUGGCGGUGGGGGCUCCGGAGGUGGUGGUGGCUACGGAGGAGGUGGCAGCGGCGGCGGAGGUGGCUAUGGAGGAGGAGGCGGCGGCGGCGGCUACGGAGGAGGAGGCGGCGGUUACACACCGACACCAACACCGUCGACGCCCAGCCACAGCGGAUCCUGCGAGUAAGCCAAACGUGCCGCUAGAUAAUAAUCUGCUAAACUCAAUCAACAGAUCACAGAUUCAAGGCUCAAAAACACAAACCGUUGUAAGUCUAAGUGUGUAACCCUGCAUCUGCGCGUGUGUGCGCAGCUACUGGAAGGGCCACCCGGAGAAGAUCAUCGACUGCAUCGGCAACCUGGGCAGCAUUCUGGGCUCCCUCGGCGAGGUGUGCCACGCCUUCUUCGGCAGCAAGAUCCAUACCCUGCAGGACGCGCUGUGCAACACCCGGACCGACUGCUACGGUGACCUGCUGCGCGAGGGCGCCGCCGCCUACAUCAACGCCAUCGCCGCCAAGAAGGAGAAGUUCGCCUACACCGCCUACCAGGUCAAGGAGUGCGUCGCCGUCGGGCUCACCUCCGAGUUCGCCGCCGCAGCGCAGGCCGCCAUGUUGAAGAAGGCCAACUACGCAUGUCACUACUAGGCUAGGCUGCCGCCCCAGCUGGUAGUCGUCGGUGGCUAAAUAAGUCCAUAUAUGCAUGCACGUGUCGUGCAUGUUUUCAUGCAGUUCCCGGAUGCGCGCGAGCGUGUCCUCCGCUAAGCCUUUAUGUGUUUGUUUGCCUUUUGAUGAUGCAUGCCAUGCCGUCUCGUAUACGUAGUGAUGCUUAAUGCUUUGCUUGCUUUUCUUAUCGUCGUUGGUGAUGUAAGAAUAAUUUGAUUUGGGGAGUUAUUAGUGAAAGAUAU
rnacentral:lncRNA from 1 species